GAUGAACGCUGGCGGCGUGCCUAAUACAUGCAAGUCGAGCGAACGGACGAGAAGCUUUCUUUUCUGAUGUUAGCGGCGGACGGGUGAGUAACACGUGGAUAACCUACCUAUAAGACUUGGAUAACUUCGGGAAACCGGAGCUAAUACCGGAUAAUAUUUUGAACCGCAUGGUUCAAAAGUGAAAGACGGUCUUGCUGUCACUUAUAGAUGGAUCCGCGCUGCAUUAGCUAGUUGGUAAGGUAACGGCUUACCAAGGCAACGAUGCAUAGCCGACCUGAGAGGGUGAUCGGCCACACUGGAACUGAGACACGGUCCAGACUCCUACGGGAGGCAGCAGUAGGGAAUCUUCCGCAAUGGGCGAAAGCCUGACGGAGCAACGCCGCGUGAGUGAUGAAGGUCUUCGGAUCGUAAAACUCUGUUAUUAGGGAAGAACAUAUGUGUAAGUAACUGUGCACAUCUUGACGGUACCUAAUCAGAAAGCCACGGCUAACUACGUG
rnacentral:rRNA from 1 species